rnacentral:snRNA from 1 species
GUGCUCACUUAGGCAGCACACAUACUAAAAUUGGAAUGAUACGGAAAAGAUUAGCAUGGCCCCUAGGCAAGGAUGACAUACAAAUGUGUGAAGCAUUCUAUAUUUUU